AAUGAACGUUGGUGGCGUGGAUUAGGCAUGCAAGUCGUGCGAGAAGGCCCCGCAAGGGGCCGGACAGCGGCGAACGGGGUAGUAAGGCGUCGGUACGUGCCCUGGGGUCCGGGAUAGCGGCGGGAAACUGCCGGUAAUACCGGAUGACCUCUUUGGAGCAAAGGUGUGAUUCCGCCCUUGGAGCGGCCGACGUGGUACCAGCUAGUUGGUGAGGUAACGGCUCACCAAGGCUCAGACGCCUAGGGGGUGUGAGAGCAUGGCCCCCACCACUGGGACUGAGACACUGCCCAGACACCUACGGGUGGCUGCAGUCGAGAAUCUUCGGCAAUGGGCGCAAGCCUGACCGAGCGACGCCACGUGCGGGAUGACGGCCCUCGGGUUGUAAACCGCUGUCGGGGGGGAUGAAGUCAUGCGGGGCAAUCCCCGCGUGUUGACAGAGCCCCGGAGGAAGCGCGGGCUAAGUACGUGCCAGCAGCCGCAGUAAGAC
rnacentral:rRNA from 1 species